GCUUGUAGCUCAGGUGGUUAGAGCGCACGCCUGAUAAGCGUGAGGUCGGAGGUUCGAGUCCUCCCAAGCCCACCA
rnacentral:tRNA from 1 species